GGGGCUGUAGCUCAAUUGGCUAGAGCACCUGCUUUGCAAGCAGGAGGUUGUGGGAUCGUUCCCCAUCAGCUCCA
rnacentral:tRNA from 1 species